UAUGACACUUGGAGCUUGAUCGCAGAACCAAAAAUAAUGAAAACGAUCUGUCCAUCAGAUACGUGAAUAGUCUCCCCGAAGUAGUCACUGUUAAAUCAAAUAACGGAAUGUCUCAGCAGGGCUGCCGAAGUGUCCAUCCCUAAGUUCUACAACGCCAACUGAAGAAAUCUCAGGUUUUUACCAAAACUGCAGUGGUCUUCGGACCAAAUUAUUUAGUUUUAACCAUAAUGUCGCUUGUAUUAACUAUAUCUUUAUCAUAUUUACCGAAACUUGAUUAGUAGAUUUAAUCUCUGAUUCAGAGCUGGGUCUGCUAU